rnacentral:SRP_RNA from 1 species
GGCCAGGCCCGGUGCGACGCCGGCGAGCUAACCCCGUCAGGACUGGAAAGUAGCAGCGGUACGCGGAAGUCGACGUGUGCAUCGCCAGCCUGGCCCAC